UACGGAGGGGGCAAGCGUUGUUCGGAAUCAUUGGGCGUAAAGCGCGUGUAGGCGGCUUGGUAAGUCGGGUGUGAAAUCCCGGGGCCCAACCCCGGAAUUGCACUCGAAACUGCCUCGCUAGAGUCCCGGAGAGGAAGGCUGAAUUCCCGGUGUAGAGGUGAAAUUCGUAGAUAUCGGGAGGAACACCAGCGGCGAAGGCGGCCUUCUGGACGGUGACUGACGCUCAGACGCGAAAGCGUGGGGAGCAAACAGG
rnacentral:rRNA from 1 species